ACACUUUCUCUCUUUUUCUUUUAAAGGAGAAAGUCAUCUCACUGGCGACAAGAUGGUGACUUCAUUACAUUCGAAAACCUGACCCUUGUCUGUGCAACUCAAUACUUCCUCAGGAAUAACACUUCUUCGAGUUUAGCUCCAGGGUGGUUUGUGCAGUUAUUUACUUCUGGAGCAAAUCACUCAUCAGACGUUCUGCUUCCACCAUCCAGUCAGAGCUGAAGAAGUUUCUUAGAUGAGAAGAUCAGACGGGCCCUGACCCUUGGCAUCCUCAAACCCUUGAAGAUGUGGCUGUGUCACCAGACAUGGAAACCCAGAUGAUAACUGCAGCAAGAUUUUUGUGUGCUCAGAGAUGGAAAGACUUAGAGUGUCCCACAAUGGAAGAAUGGAUGCCGAAGAUAAUGGAACUGACUGAGAUGGCAAAAUUUACUACCUUUUUUUUUAAAAUGUCUAACUUUGUUUCCACGUGGGAACUGCUUUUUGACUUUUUGUUAGAAACUGAAAUGCUACAUUAAUUUUAAGAUUGACAAAUAGAAGUGUUUAUGAUGAUAGAAAUACAGGUAUUACUGA